ensembl:lncRNA
UUUCCAUUUUCCCUGGAAAUCCUUUGAAGAGGGGACCUUCAGAAUACCAUCUGCACCUGGAAGCUUCAUCAACGAAUUUAUUAUUCGUUAUUCCCUGGUACACCCGGUGGAUAUGAGCCAACCGCUACAUGUCUGAACCUGCGAGAUGUGUUUGGCUAUAUUCCCUUCUAUGUCAGGCACCUGGAGAGUGGGCUAGUGUUCAGAGGAGGCUAUUCCCUACCCCCAACCAAGCCACACCGACAUCGCAGGCAUGCUAUCCUGCUUAGCCAAAGACAUUCUCCAGGAAUGGCCAGCUCUCUCGAAAAACCAUAAACAAGCUUCCAUAGUGAUGGUGCCCAGCAUGACGCAGAGUUACUGUUACUGCCCUGAAGCUGAUUCUUUUCCCAUCCUGAAGUAAUUUUGUCACAACAGGACAAUACGCCUCCCAGCCAACAGAGGUCACUGUCACCAUGGUUCAAUUCCUGCUUACUAUACUAUUGCUAAUGGUUCCUGCUGUGUAAGUUGGAACAGUGUCUAUCCCGAUCUCAUUUCUUUGUAUGAUUAUUCUCUAUCACUCAUGCCUGACUGAUCAUCCUUGUCUGUAUGAAAUUUUUGGCUUUUUGCCUGC